UACGUAGGGGGCAAGCGUUGUCCGGAUUUAUUGGGCGUAAAGAGCGUGUAGGCGGCCAAGCAGGUCCGCUGUGAAAACUCGAGGCUCAACCUCGAGACGUCGGUGGAAACCGUUUGGCUAGAGUCCGGAAGAGGAGAGUGGAAUUCCCGGUGUAGCGGUGAAAUGCGCAGAUAUCAGGAGGAACACCAGCGGCGAAGGCGGCGCUCUGGGCCGGUACUGACACUGAGGAGCGAAAGCGUGGGUAGCAAACAGG
rnacentral:rRNA from 1 species